ACCGGAGGAAGGUGGGGAUGACGUCAAGUCAUCAUGGCCCUUACGGCCAGGGCUACACACGUGCUACAAUGGUCGGUACAAAGGGUUGCCAAGCCGCGAGGUGGAGCUAAUCCCAUAAAACCGAUCGUAGUCCGGAUCGCAGUCUGCAACUCGACUGCGUGAAGUCGGAAUCGCUAGUAAUCGUGAAUCAGAAUGUCACGGUGAAUACGUUCCCGGGCCUUGUACACACCGCCCGUCACACCAUGGGAGUGGGUUGCUCCAGAAGUAGCUAGUCUAACCGCAAGGGGGACGGUUACCACGGAGUGAUUCAUGACUGGGGUGAAGUCGUAACAAGGUAGCCGU
rnacentral:rRNA from 1 species